rnacentral:antisense_RNA from 1 species
CUGAGCCGGUACUCCUUCCGGAUGAUGUCGAACUGGUACUCGGUGCUGGUCACCCGUUGAGCGUAGUAGACCAGAACUCCCAAACCGACCACCAGAGUCAGCAGUGUAGCGAAGAGCAUCCCCAGGACGGUGAUUUCGUGGGCCUUCG